rnacentral:lncRNA from 1 species
CUGAAAGGAUUACUAAAUCCAACAGCUGUCCAGCCCUUCAUGCAAGCACUUCUGGUCCUUCCGCCCCCUCACAAGCUGGUGUUGUGGCUCAAUGUGUGCCAUUGCCUGGGCAAUGCUCAGUCAGCACCAGUGGCAUUGAGGCAGUCAGGGCUGCAUCCCUGGAGGAUGGCUGCAAUGUCAUGGUGGGGAUAGCAGUGUUCUGACAGCAGAUCCUUCAACUGCCCCAGAGGAGCUCACUUCUGGACUGUAGUCAUGGAAACAGCUACGGAAGGCAAAGUCGGUGAGAACUUCUUACUAAUGUACUGGAAGGAUAAAUGGGAACACUUUUAUUUUAGCGGUUGUCACAGAGCAUGGCGUUGCCAGACGGAGCCGGAUUUGGAAAGCGGCCAUUCGUGGAUGUUUGGUUUGAAACAAACCCCACGGAUGUUACUGGAUCGAGAACAGCACAGAAUCCAUAACGGGAGUUGGAAUUGAAGGAGACAAAUGAUUUGGCUUCAAUAGCCCUUAAUGACCUCCCGGGAGGAGCUGUGCAGCACUGAGGCCAUGGCUGUGGUGCUCCCAGAAAUGCCAGUUCCCUGUGUGCGCAUCUCAUCCAAGCGCUGCUUAUGAGCACUGGAGCUUCCAGCUAUAUCCCUGAUCAACACUAGAUGUUGCUGUGCUGCUACUCAUAUCACCUAUACAUUAGCCAGGCUUUUAAAUGCUAUUUACUGCCAUUUCCUCUUUCCUGUUUCUGCUAUUCACACUGUUCAGGAUGUUGAUCUGCUACUUUAAUGUUCAUUCUGUUUUAUUUCUGCAAUAUGAAGUCCAUAACCCACUUGAAUGUACACGUGAAAACUUUAUGAGCAACAAACAGACUCUUGUAAGUGAUAAAGUGAAG